rnacentral:rRNA from 1 species
GAAUUCACUAGUGAUUGAGGCCUAACACGUGCAAGUCGAGCGGUAGAGAGAAGCUUGCUUCUCUUGAGAGCGGCGGACGGGUGAGUAAUGCCUAGGAAUCUGCCUGGUAGUGGGGGAUAACGUUCGGGAGCGGACGCUAGUACCGCAUACGUCCUACGGGAGAAAGCAGGGGACCUUCGGGCCUUGCGCUAUCAGAUGAGCCUAGGUCGGAUUAGCUAGUUGGUGAGGUAAUGGCUCGCCAAGGCUACGAUCCGUAACUGGUCUGAGAGGAGGAUCAGGCACACUGGAACUGAGACACGGUCCAGACUCCUACGGGAGGCAGCAGUGGGGAAUAUUGGACAAUGGGCGAAAGCCUGAU